rnacentral:rRNA from 1 species
UACAGAGGGGGCAAGCGUUGUUCGGAAUUACUGGGCGUAAAGGGUGCGUAGGCGGUCGCGCAAGUCGGAUGUGAAAUCUCAGGGCUCAACCCUGAAACUGCAUUCGAUACUGCGUGGCUAGAGUGCUGGAGAGGAGACUGGAAUUUACGGUGUAGCAGUGAAAUGCGUAGAUAUCGUAAGGAAGACCAGUGGCGAAGGCGAGUCUCUGGACAGCAACUGACGCUGAGGCACGAAGGCCAGGGGAGCAAACGGG